rnacentral:tRNA from 1 species
AUAAACAAUUUUUUUUGCCUUUCAGACAGUUAGAAGCUCUCAAGUAAAUAUUUCUUU